CUUCCCGGUGAUGUCCACCACCUUGACGUUUGCGCUCAUUUGCAGCAGAGUCUCCAGGAGCUGGUCGGUCUUGCGGUAGAGGGCGCUAGAGAGCACUUCAGGACGACCUCCAGCUCUGGAGGGAAUUUUGGUCACGCGAAGAGGAGGCAGAGAGGCGAGCUGAGCGCGCAUCUUCUCAGCCUGCGAGGGAAAAUAUGUUACUGCAGCCACAUACACACAAUAUAUCCAUACAACCGCAAAAUGGAUCAAAUAACAUCAGUGUUUGAUGCAAAGUCUCUGAGCUUCAAUCUGCUGAGUCAGCAGAGGAGAGUCGAUCACCUGGAUGCCCGACCCUGAACCGACACUGGACAUCAUGUUUGCUGCGGGACCGAGAGCAGCAGAGUCUGGGCUUCGUCCAGUCGAGUCUGAAUCUUUUCAACACGUUCGUCUGCGUCUUUGGAUGAACUGUCCAGCUUCUUCUCCAACAGACUGAGGCGGACGUUUGCCUCGCUAAGCUCCUCUCCCUGGAAACCCACACAGCUUCAAGCCAAGACCCUCUGCAUCUGUGAUUUCAGCUCGAAGAGCCGCUGCCCGCAAAUCCACAGGUGGAGGGUUCUGAUAGAUGGCAAAAGAAAGUCAUAUAAUCAAAACUGAAAAAUCUAAUACGGCAGUCAUAACCAAAACUUGCACCGCAAUAAAUCAUGUCAAGGUGAGAACCCAAAAUGCUUUUCAAGACACUUAAUUACCUUGUUUUGAGGCUUGUCUGAGUCAUAUUCUCCCUCCUGCAUGGCGGUGGCCAUCUUGUUCAUGGUUGCUAUGACGAUGCUACAAGACUGCCGCAGAUACUCGUAGGGGUUUGCACCCUGGGAUCCAUAAAUCUGAAAAUGAUCGUUUAACUUUUUAAAGUUAGUUUUUCUUGUUUGUUUUUUUUCCUUCUCUUCUUUUGUUUCUUUCGUAUUGCUGGUAUUCUGCAUUCUAGUGUAUAGAAUAGGCAAAUAUUAGCCUUGGGCUUAAUUGCAUAUUAAAAAUGGUCAUUCUUUGUACAUUAUAAUGUAAACCAAAAUAAACCAUUCAUUCAUUAA